GACGAACGCUGGCGGCGUGCUUAACACAUGCAAGUCGAACGAAGUGGCGAACGGGUGAGUAAUACGUGAGUAACCUGCCCUCCUUUUUGGGAUAAGCCUUGGAAACGGGGUCUAAUACCGAAUAAAGGGGGAUGGGCUCGCGGCCUAUCAGCUUGUUGGUGGGGUGAUGGCCUACCAAGGCGGUGACGGGUAGCCGGCCUGAGAGGGUGACCGGCCACAUUGGGACCUGGAUACGGCCCAGGCUCCUACCGGAGGCAGGCGUGGGGGAUAUUGCACAAUGGGCGAAAGCCUGAUGCAGCGAAGCCGCGUGGGGGAUUAAGGGUUUCGGGUUGUAAACCUUUUUCGCCAGCGAACGGGUAGGUGGAGAAGAAGCGCCGGCUAACUACGUGCCAGCAGCCGCGGUAAUAC
rnacentral:rRNA from 1 species